UUGCUGUGCAUGUGCAGCCUGCGUGUUGGUGUGUCUGCGUGGGGCAGUUGUGCGCGCGUGUUGGUUUGUGCUUACUUGGGGAGAGGGCACGUGUGUGCUUGUGAGUGUUGUGCCUUUAUAGGACCCAGAGCAGAGUUUUGGACAAGGAUCACAAGGAAGCUCGCUGGAAUCUGCUCGUGAACUUGGGGAAGGGCACUGCUGCUCGAGACGUGAUUGUGAAGGGGUGGCCGUCCAGUGGAUGAAGGCUGACAUGGUAGAUACAAUAAAAGUAAGAGGGAUCAGAAGGAACAAGCAAGGAGAAGGAAAGGAAGUUCAUUAAAGCAGAAAAAUAAGCAGAAAGAGAGGAAAGGAGUGAGAGAGAGGGAAGCAUCGAUGUGAGACAGAAACAUCGAUUGGCUGCCUGUCGUCGGUGCCACGACCGGGGAGUGAACCACAACUCAGGCCUGUGACCUGCCCUGAGUCAAACCCGCAGCCUUUUCAUGCAGAGAAUGAUGCUCAACCCAACCGAGCUGCUCAGGAAAAGCAAUGUUUUUGUUUGUUUGUUUGUUUGUUUGUUUUUAAAGCUUCAGUAGAGAUUCUUACCUGCAGCCAGGGCUGAAAAGCCCAUUUCAGGAGACAGGUGCAGUGUGGGGUAUUGUGUGUACAGCUGAGGAGGGAGUUGGUCACUGCCUCUCUCAGGAGCUGGGAUGUGACAUGACCUUGAGCAGCAUCCCAGGGAGGAGGAAGGCACCGAGGAGCGUGCGUCCUCCUCAGCCUGCCACGCCAGCCGGGCCAGGUGUACCAGGGAGGAAGGCCAGCGGAAGGCUGGUCACGCCGGGUUCCCGGUAUAAAUGUGUGGACGAGAAAAUGGGGGUUAUGGAAAGUGACCUCCCAGGAUGAUCUGGUCAUAAACUCCUGACUCGACCAGUGGGCCCUGGUGGGCAGUCUCGCCCCAGGCCUGUAACUUUUUCCGGACAAGGUUUGCCUUUGCCUCGGUGAGCCCUGUCCACCGUCUCUGUGCGGCCUGGUUCCCACACGCCUUUGGAGUGCCUCUUCUCAGACCCUCUAAUAAGCGGUCAGCCUCUCGGACCCCUCAAAAGACCACAUACUCUGAACGCCCCUCUACUCCCACUUUGCUUUCUCCCACCUCCAUGGAAUCUUCCUGACAUUUCAGUGCAUAAAAGAAGCUGCAGAACUGUUAUUCUCUGGAACAUUUGAGGUCUUGCUCCCCGGGACACAUCAUCAGCUUGGCCCAGAUAAACUCCUAUAAAACCUGAACCCAGGGUUUCACCGACCACUGGCAAACUCCGCACCGUGCUCCCUGAGGAACUGGGCGAGGAGGAGCCGCACCUCUGGGGACGAUGCUGGCCCUCUGCUCCGGAGCACCAAAGGAAAGCAAUGCCUUGUGAGAGCGUUCAGUGGGUGAACUGAACAUCUAUCAGGCUUUCACGAAGUGACUCAUGAAUCAGGCAGCUCCCCGUCCGUCGGUGAGAAGGGCAGUGGUUGGAAGGUGUGCACAGGCCCAAGGAGGGUGGGACUAAGAAGUUAAAAGGGCUGAUGACUUCUGGCCGGGACACCUGCCCCUGGGCAAGGCAGGAGUCUUAUCUGGCAGACACCUCACAACUGUCGAUCGAUCACCCCAUUCCAGGCAGAUUGGUUCACAAUUCCUCUCCUGGGAGAAGCUGAAACUGUGACCAGGGUACUACCAAACCGGUAAAUUCUGAUUUGGUGACACAACUCAGCCAAAGUGACUCCAUUUCAGUCUGUUGUUUCUUUUCCUUGAAGCCACCACAGGUUUCAGUGUCCCCUCGUCGAUGACACCUGCGCAGCACGGGCCGCGCCCACCGGCCUGUGUCCUCUGAGGCCGCACCUUCUCCUCACUCCCUCUGCAAACACGGUGAAAAUUUCCAGCUCUGUUUGGCGGGGACAGUGGGGCCGGAGGAGGAAAACCCUCUGUGGGCAACUGCUAGACAGGGAAGUUCCAGGCUGAGACCACGGCAACCCACAGACUAGUUCGAGGGCAGGAGGCAGGGGGCACAGAGCCUUCUCUGCCUCCAGAACAGCCCCAAACGGAACUUAGGACACACCUCCACGAGGAUGACCUGCUCUCCAAGGACCCUCCAGCGUCUUCUCAAUGUCUCAGUCAAGGUGGCGCCUAGAGGCCCGAGACCAAGAUUUGGGGACUGUGCCGUCAGUUGUGGGAGGGACCACCGCCCCUCCCCGCAACUGACCAGAAACAGCAAUUCACACCUGGAAUCAUCCCACAGGUGAGACAGAACCACCUCCUGGUUACGUUUCUCCACCCCUAAAGUGAAGGGAGAGAUUUGGGGUAACUCCAUCCCCAAAACCUGGAGCUUAGCACAGUCUGUGAAAAUGUAAAUGAAGAGCUUUCACUAGUUUUAAAGUUGCAAUACAAGUAAUGGAUUGCCCCGGGCCAAAAGGAUUACUUUUUAUAUGCAAAUGAACAUAACGAAUCUUUAAGUGCUCCUUAUUGUCAGGGUGAUGAGCUGACUCAAGCGGAGGAAAGGGAAGCUGGGUGGGCUCCAGUGCUUUGUGAAAAACCGGCCAGGGCCCAGGAGAGAGAGGCCGGACAGGUGCUGGGGCUGAUGGAAAGUUCUAGGGGUCGUGAGCGAGUAGAAAGAGCACGUGACUCUGAGUCAGUGGCUAAGGGUGGAAAGGAAGAGACUGAAAACCCAGGCGUCUGCUGAGACGGAAACAGGACAGGAAUGUUGUGUCUCAGGGCUGAAGGCAGUGACUCACUACAGACGGGAGCGUUCGGCCUCAGCACCAGGCACGCUCUCCUGUGCUUCCUGCUCUCCUAACUCCUCUCCGAGGUGCUAUCUCGAGGAGGAUCUCUGCUUGCAGAACUGGGCUGCAUUUCAAGUGGAUGUGCUCAGCACCUGGCAUGUGCUGAGUGUUCACUGAUAAGGAAGUGGUUGAUUCUUUGCCUCUGCUCAGUCAUUCAUUCACCGAGUAUUUCCUGAGAUCCCUGCCUGCCAGGCAGCGCAGUGGGUGUGGUCCCUGCCCUGGUGCGGUCGUCGGGCUACCGGGAGAGCAGGGACAAGCAUAAACGGUUAACUAAUCAUAUACAUGGAAAUCAUUCCAGUUAGCAUACAGAGAGAUAAUUGCAUAGGACAUCUGAAAGCACGGAAGUUAGCCAGAGGGAGAAGAAACAUUUUUCGCCAAGGGAGUCCGAACGUGGAGGUUUUAAGAACUGAAGGAAGGAUGGAGGCAGGCAGGUUGGCAGUAACGGGAAGUCGAGUCCAGCAUGUUCCAUGACGCCGAGAGGUGACGGGCACAUCGACUUCCAUCUGGGAGCCCUGGCCCCUCGGACGCACUGAGGGGAGACAAGGACAUCUGUCCCAGUGGAUUUUAAAUAGGUUUGCACUCACCUCUCCACCGCUUGGCCUUGCCGGCGCCCAGGCCUGGGCUUCGCUUCUCAGUCUGCUUCUCCCCAGCCCCUGAGCCUGCCUGAAGGAGCAGCCUGGGACUGAUACUGAGUGUGCACCCUGACCGGCGUGGCUCAGUGGGCUGGGCAACUUCCUGAAAAUCAAAAAGUCCUGUGUUUGAUUCCCAGUUGGGGCACGUGCCUGGGUUGCGGGGUCCCCUGGUCGGGGCACUUAGGAGAGGCAACGAUCGAUAUUGCUCUCUCACAUGUUGUUUCUCCCCCUCUCUUUCUCCCUCCCUUUCCCUCUUUCUAAAAAUAAAAUAAAAUCUUUAAAAAAACUCUGAGCGUGCAGUGAC